GCUGCUGGUCCUGAGUGCUAUAAGAAAGCAGUCGGAGCAAGCCAGUAAGCAGUAUAUAUAGCCUUUGCUGCGGUUUCUGCUGGCUUUCCUCAGUGAUGGAGUGUGACCUGAGAGUUGUAAGCUGAAAUACGCCUUUCCCCAACACAACAUGGUGUUUACUACAGCAACAAAAAGCCAAUUAUGCACUACAAGCAAGCAAGCUCCCUAGACAGCUGAUGUCCUCUGCCCCUGAGAGAGCCUGAACAAGAGAGGCUGGCAUGCAAAUCCUGCACAGAGUCACCUCAUGGCAUUCUGUGGAAGCAACCAGGCCACAGCUGAGAAUAUCUAAGGGGGCACCUAACCCACAUUCUGACCAGAUUUAUGAUGAAGAGAGACAGGCCCAACCCAAAUUAAAGAAAAUGAAGUACACAGCCACUGACUGUGUAAGUUCAAAAUGGAAAUAUGAUACAGUUCUCCUCAAUGCUCUGUGACAGCACAAGUGACCCUAAACUG